rnacentral:rRNA from 1 species
CAGUCGAGCGACGGAUAAGGAGCUUGCUCCUUUGAAGUUAGCGGCGGACGGGUGAGUAACACGUGGGUAACCUACCUAUAAGACUGGGAUAACUUCGGGAAACCGGAGCUAAUACCGGAUAACAUUUAGAACCGCAUGGUUCUAAAGUGAAAGAUGGUUUUGCUAUCACUUAUAGAUGGACCCGCGCCGUAUUAGCUAGUUGGUAAGGUAACGGCUUACCAAGGCGACGAUACGUAGCCGACCUGAGAGGGUGAUCGGCCACACUGGAACUGAGACACGGUCCAGACUCCUACGGGAGGCAGCAGUAGGGAAUCUUCCGCAAUGGGCGAAAGCCUGACGGAGCAACGCCGCGUGAGUGAUGAAGGGUUUCGGCUCGUAAAACUCUGUUAUUAGGGAAGAACAAAUGUGUAAGUAACUGUGCACAUCUUGACGGUACCUAAUCAGAAAGCCACGGCUAACUACGUGCCAGCAGCCGCGGUAAUACGUAGGUGGCAAGCGUUAUCCGGAAUUAUUGGGCGUAAAGCGCGCGUAGGCGGUUUCUUAAGUCUGAUGUGAAAGCCCACGGCUCAACCGUGGAGGGUCAUUGGAAACUGGGAAACUUGAGUGCAGAAGAGGAAAGUGGAAUUCCAUGUGUAGCGGUGAAAUGCGCAGAGAUAUGGAGGAACACCAGUGGCGAACGCGACUUUCUGGUCUGUAACUGACGCUGAUGUGCGAAAGCGUGGGGAUCAACCAGAUUAGAUACCCUGGUAGUCCACGCCGUAAACGAUGA